UACCUGGUUGAUCCUGCCAGUAAUCAUAUGCUUGUCUCAAAGAUUAAGCCAUGCAUGUCUAAGUACAUGCCGAAAUAAGGCGAAACCGCGAAUGGCUCAUUAAAUCAGUUAUGGUUCCUUAGAUCGUUUCUUCCUACUUGGAUAACUGUGGCAAUUCUAGAGCUAAUACAUGCAGUGAGCCUGGAGCCCUUUGGGUAACGGGUGCUUUUAUUAGACCAAGAUCGAUCGGGUUUCGGCCCGUAUUGUGUGGUGACUCUGGAUAACUUUGUGCUGAUCGCAUGGCCACGAGCCGGCGACGUUUCUUUCAAGUGUCUGCCUUAUCAACUUUCGAUGGUAGGUUACUUGCUUACCAUGGUUGUUACGGGUAACGGAGAAUCAGGGUUCGAUUCCGGAGAGGGAGCCUGAGAAACGGCUACCACAUCCAAGGAAGGCAGCAGGCGCGCAAAUUACCCACUCCCGGCACGGGGAGGUAGUGACGAAAAAUAACAAUACGGGACUCUUUUGAGGCCCCGUAAUUGAAAUGAGUACACUCUAAAUCCUUUAACGAGGAUCAAUUGGAGGGCAAGUCUGGUGCCAGCAGCCGCGGUAAUUCCAGCUCCAAUAGCGUAUACUAAAGCUGCUGCGGUUAAAAAGCUCGUAGUUGGAUCUCAGUUCCAGACGAGUAGUGCAUCUACCCGAUGCGACGGCUCGGACUGAACAUCAUGCCGGUUCUUUCUUGGUGCACUUCAUUGUGUGCCUCGAGAUGGCCGGUGCUUUUACUUUGAAAAAAUUAGAGUGCUCAACGCAGGCGAGUCGCCUGAAUAAACUUGCAUGGAAUAAUAGAACAAGACCUCGUUUCUGUUCUGUUGGUUUUUGGAAUACGAGGUAAUGAUUAAGAGGGACGGACGGGGGCAUUCGUAUUGCGGCGCUAGAGGUGAAAUUCUUGGACCGUCGCAAGACGAACUACUGCGAAAGCAUUUGCCAAGAAUGUUUUCAUUGAUCAAGAACGAAAGUCAGAGGUUCGAAGGCGAUCAGAUACCGCCCUAGUUCUGACCAUAAACGAUGCCAACCAGCGAUCCGCCUGAGUUACUCAAAUGACUCGGCGGGCAGCUUCCGGGAAACCAAAGUAUUUGGGUUCCGGGGGAAGUAUGGUUGCAAAGCUGAAACUUAAAGGAAUUGACGGAAGGGCACCACCAGGAGUGGAGCCUGCGGCUUAAUUUGACUCAACACGGGAAAACUUACCCGGCCCGGACACUGGGAGGAUUGACAGAUUGAGAGCUCUUUCUUGAUUCGGUGGAUGGUGGUGCAUGGCCGUUCUUAGUUGGUGGAGCGAUUUGUCUGGUUAAUUCCGAUAACGAACGAGACUCUAGCCUAUUAAAUAGGUGCGGGGUUCCCAGCACCUUACAACCUUCUUAGAGGGACAAGCGGCUCCUAGCCGCACGAAACAGAGCAAUAACAGGUCUGUGAUGCCCUUAGAUGUCCGGGGCCGCACGCGCGCUACACUGAAGGAAGCAGCGUGUCUUUAUCCCUGUCUGAAAAGACUGGGUAACCCGUGGAACUUCUUUCGUGAUUGGGAUAGGGGCUUGCAAUUGUUCCCCUUGAACGAGGAAUUCCCAGUAAGCGCGAGUCAUAAGCUCGCGUUGAUUACGUCCCUGCCCUUUGUACACACCGCCCGUCGCUACUACCGAUUGAAUGAUUUAGUGAGGUCUUCGGACCGAUGUCCGGCGCGGCCUUUCGGUUGCGCCGGUCUGUUGGAAAGAUGACCAAACUUGAUCAUUUAGAGGAAGUAAAAGUCGUAACAAGGUUUCCGUAGGUGAACCUGCGGAAGGAUCAUUA
rnacentral:rRNA from 2 species